rnacentral:sRNA from 1 species
CAAAUGUGAGCGCAUCCAUACCAAAAUCAAUACUCAUAAUACACCGGCAUUUCUGUUUUUCGUGUAUCCUUUAGUUUUUUAUAUUUACCAUCCUUAAUGUACUUGCCAACCUCAAAAUCAUAAUAUACGGAUUUGGCAGAAGGAAAACUCGAGGUGAGGUCUUAGACAGGACAGUUAAGUCCCUUAAGGUUUGUUCAGGGUGGUUAAAGUCCCUACAGGUUUGUGACUGUUAGCCUUUUAGUGCCGCUGCAGGGUAGUGUAAUCCUUGCAGGUUUGUUGCUGUUUAGGACAGUUAAGUCCCUGAAGGUUUGUUGUUGUUUAGGGUAGUUAAGUCCCUACAGGUUUGUGGCUGUUAGCCUUUGAAGGCCUCCCAUAUGUUACUCAUGGAAAUCAUGUUCUUGAAGUUUUGUUGUUGUUCACCACUAUUGAUGGCAAUCCAGUCCCUGCAGUUUGUUGUUGUUCGCCACUGGAGGCCCUUCAUUUGUUCUUGUAGUUUGUUGUUGUUUGCUGCUGCAAGUCAUCAUCCAUUUUUGAUGGAAAUCUCC